AUGUUUCUAAACGGUGAAAACAUUGUCUUUCGAAAAAUAGGGAGCGGAAACCUUAUCCCCUCCCUCGUCGCCCCCGCGUGCGACGGGGAGGGCAUCCUCAGCCACCUCCGCCGGAACCCCUCCCUCCCUCCUCCUACUCCCUCGCCGCCGCCAGCGGGCGUGGCCGGGCGAAGCCCGGCCGCCGCCGGCUGCGGCGGGGCAUUCUCGUCGCUGCGUUCGCGGGGGAUGGCGCGGGCCGUCGCUCCCGAACCUGGCUGUGGUGCUGCUGCAGGGCGCCGCGGCGCGGCGUCGCGCCGGCGCAGGUGA
rnacentral:rRNA from 1 species